rfam:Triticum aestivum genome assembly, contig: Triticum_aestivum_CS42_TGACv1_scaffold_220960_3B
AAAGUACUCCCUCCGUCCCAAAAUUCUUGUCUUAGAUUUGCCUAGAUAUGGAUGUAUCAAGUCACAUUUUAGUAUUAGAUACAUCCGUAUCUAGACAAAUCUAAGACAAGAAAUUUGGGACAGAGGGAGUAGUUG